rnacentral:rRNA from 1 species
GACGAACGCUGGCGGCGUGCUUAACACAUGCAAGUCGAGCGGUGCGGCGAACGGGUGUGUAACGCGUUAGUAACUGCCCCCCUCUCUGGGAUAACAGUUGGAAACGGCUGCUAAUACCGGAUAGUGGGGGAUGACUCGGGUCCAAUCAGAUUGUUGGUGGGGUGGUGGCAUACCGAGGCGACGACGGGUAGCCGGCCUGAGAGGGGGACCGGCCACAUUGGGCAGAGAGACGGCCCAGACUCCUACGGGGGGCAGCGGUGGGGAAGAGUGCACAAUGGGGGAAACCCUGAUGGAGCAACGCCGCGUGCGGGAUGACGGCCUUCGGGUUGUAAACCGCUUUCAGCCAUGACGCGGUAGUGGCAGAAGAAGCACCGGGUAACUACGUGCCAGCAGCCGCGGUAAUUC